AAGUAAGAUCCCUCAAAGAUGAUGAGGUGGAUAGGUCUGGGGUGGAAGCACGGCGACGUGUGCAGCUGACAGAUACUAAUCGAUCGAGGACUUAACCUAU
rnacentral:rRNA from 1 species